GCUGACAUGAACCUGAUCACAUCCUUGUCCAAAUCCCAUCUGUGAUCCAUUAGGGCUGAAAGAGCCGAAAUAUGAACUUUAAGGGUGUUGAGGCUUAACCCUUUGUCAAGACCUAGUUGUAGGAAUUCCAGAAUAUCUGUAGUGGAGAUUGACUGUGUAUUGAUUUGUUUAGAUGUAGCCCAGGAGAAAAAGAUGCCCCAGAUUCUAUAAUAUGUGGUAGACGUAGAGCGUCUAUUACUGCCUGUGAGAAUCCCUUUUCUUUUAGCCCUUCCCUUUCA